CGGAGUGUAGCACAGUGGGUAAGGAACUGGGCUUGUAACCGAAAGGUGCAGGUUCGAUUCCCACUGCUGUUG
rnacentral:tRNA from 1 species